rnacentral:piRNA from 1 species
UGCCUGUUGGAACUUUGGUGUGCUCAAUUG